AAUAAGAUAAGCUAAAUUGAAGCUAGUGGGCUCAUAACCCAAAAAUGAUAAACCUCUCUUAUUA
rnacentral:tRNA from 1 species